UACGUAGGGUCCGAGCGUUGUCCGGAAUUAUUGGGCGUAAAGAGCUCGUAGGCGGUUUGUCGCGUCUGCUGUGAAAUCCCGAGGCUCAACCUCGGGUCUGCAGUGGGUACGGGCAGACUGGAGUGCGGUAGGGGAGAAUGGAAUUCCAGGUGUAGCGGUGAAAUGCGUAGAUAUCUGGAGGAACACCGGUGGCGAAGGCGGAUCUCUGGGCCUUACCUGACGCUCAGGUGCGAAAGCUAGGGGAGCGAACAGG
rnacentral:rRNA from 1 species